rnacentral:rRNA from 1 species
CCUUUGUACACACCGCCCGUCGCUACUACCGAUUGAAUGGCUUAGUGAGGCCUCCGGAUUGGCGUCGAAAAGCCGGCAACGGCUAUUUGAUGCUGAGAAGCUGGUCAAACUUGGUCAUUUAGAGG